rnacentral:tRNA from 3 species
CUCUCGGUGGCCAAGUUGGUUUAAGGCGCCAGACUGUAAAUCUGGAUAUCGGGCGUUCGAAUCGCCCCCGGGAGA